rnacentral:rRNA from 1 species
AGGACGAGCGCUGGCGGCGUGCCUAACACAUGCAAGUCGAGCGGGGACAUGGAGUAGCAAUACGAAAUGUUCUAGCGGCGGACGGGUGAGUAACGCGUGAGCAACCUGUCCCAGUCAGGGGGAUAACGAGCCGAAAGGCUCCCUAAUACCGCAUGAGACCACAGCAUCACAUGGUGCAGGGGUCAAAGGAGAGAUCCGGACUGGGGUGGGCUCGCGUCUGAUUAGCUAGUUGGUGAGGUAAAGGCCCACCAAGGCGACGAUCAGUAGCCGACCUGAGAGGGUGAUCGGCCACAUUGGAACUGAGACACGGUCCAAACUCCUACGGGAGGCAGCAGUGGGGAAUAUUGGGCAAUGGGGGAAACCCUGACCCAGCAACGCCGCGUGAAGGAAGAAGGUCUUCGGAUCGUAAACUUCUAUCCUUGGUGAAGAUAAUGACGGUAGCCGAGAAGGAAGCCCCGGCUAACUACGUGCCAGCCGCUGC